CCUACGGGUGGCAGCAGUAGGGAAUCUUGCGCAAUGGGCGAAAGCCUGACGCAGCAACGCCGCGUGAGGGAUGACGGCCUUCGGGUUGUAAACCUCUUUCAGCAGGGACGCGGUACCUGCAGAAGAAGCUCCGGCCAACUACGUGCCAGCAGCCGCGGUAAUACGUAGGGAGCGAGCGUUGUCCGGAAUCAUUGGGCGUAAAGAGCUCGUAGGCGGCUUGGUAAGUCGGAUGUGAAAGCUCCAGGCUCAACCUGGAGUCGCCAUCCGAUACUGCCAAGCUAGAGUCCGGUAGGGGCCCACGGAACUCCUGGUGUAGCGGUGAAAUGCGCAGAUAUCAGGAAGAACACCGGUGGCGAAGGCGGUGGGCUGGGCCGGACUGACGCUGAGGAGCGAAAGCGUGGGGAGCGAACAGGAUUAGAUACCCUUGUAGUC
rnacentral:rRNA from 1 species